GUCGAGGCCAGCAAGUUCAUAGGAGCUAUUGUGGUGCACGGCAGGAAAUGAUUGCAAGUUGAUGGAGAAUGCAGCCUUUCUAAGAUGCACUAUGAAAUUGAACACAGAAGGAGGUUUAGAAGAGACAAGCAACAGGGACAAACAAGCCAUUACAGGGCAGGAGCCCAUUGUCAGUUUCCAGAACUAUAAGAAAAUACAAGGGUUUCCUCUGGUGAUCAAAGCCACCCUGGUCAUGCGUGCAGCAGGUCAGAAGUGUCAGAGAUUCAGCUCUAGCAACCGUGGUCAUGAUGUGCUGUGUCAGCCCUUAUGGAUUUACCACUGAAGCUGGGAGAAGAGCACAUGAAGACAAGCCGAGGGGCAGAGAUUUAUCAAAGGGCUCCCUGCCUUUCUGACAGAUGUGCUGCAGCGGCC
rnacentral:lncRNA from 1 species